rnacentral:tRNA from 1 species
GGCCUUAUCGUCUAGUUGGACCAGGACGUUUCCCUUUCACGGAAGAAACGGGAGUUCAAAUCUCCCUGAGGCUA